rnacentral:rRNA from 1 species
GACGAACGCUGGCGGCGUGCUUAACGCAUACAAGUCGAACGGAAAGGCCCUGCUUUUGUGGGGUGCUCGAGUGGCGAACGGGUGAGUAACACGUGAGUAACCUGCCCUUGACUUUGGGAUAACUUCAGGAAACUGGGGCUAAUACCGGAUAGGAGCUCCUGCUGCAUGGUGGGGGUUGGAAAGUUUCGGCGGUUGGGGAUGGACUCGCGGCUUAUCAGCUUGUUGGUGGGGUAGUGGCUUACCAAGGCUUUGACGGGUAGCCGGCCUGAGAGGGUGACCGGCCACAUUGGGACUGAGAUACGGCCCAGACUCCUACGGGAGGCAGCAGUGGGGAAUAUUGCACAAUGGGCGGAAGCCUGAUGCAGCAACGCCGCGUGCGGGAUGACGGCCUUCGGGUUGUAAACCGCUUUCGCCUGUGACGAAGCGUGAGUGACGGUAAUGGGUAAAGAAGCACCGGCUAACUACGUG